AGAGUUUGAUCCUGGCUCAGGACGAACGCUGGCGGCGCGCCUAACACAUGCAAGUCGAACGGAGCUUAGAGAGCUUGCUUUUUAAGCUUAGUGGCGAGCGGGUGAGUAACGCGUGAGUAACCUGCCCUAGAGUGGGGGACAACAGUUGGAAACGACUGCUAAUACCGCAUAAGCCCACGGUACCGCAUGGUACUGAGGGAAAAGGAUUUAUUCGCUUUAGGAUGGACUCGCGUCCAAUUAGCUAGUUGGUGAGGUAAUGGCCCACCAAGGCAACGAUCGGUAGUCGGACUGAGAGGUUGAACGGCCACAUUGGGACUGAGACACGGCCCAGACUCCUACGGGAGGCAGCAGUGGGGAAUAUUGCACAAUGGGGGAAACCCUGAUGCAGCGACGCCGCGUGGAGGAAGAAGGUCUUCGGAUUGUAAACUCCUGUUGUUGAGGAAGAUAAUGACGGUACUCAACAAGGAAGUGACGGCUAACUACGUGCCAGCAGCCGCGGUAAAACGUAGGUCACAAGCGUUGUCCGGAAUUACUGGGUGUAAAGGGAGCGCAGGCGGGAAGACAAGUUGGAAGUGAAAUCUAUGGGCUCAACCCAUAAACUGCUUUCAAAACUGUUUUUCUUGAGUAGUGCAGAGGUAGGCGGAAUUCCCGGUGUAGCGGUGGAAUGCGUAGAUAUCGGGAGGAACACCAGUGGCGAAGGCGGCCUACUGGGCACCAACUGACGCUGAGGCUCGAAAGUGUGGGUAGCAAACAGGAUUAGAUACCCUGGUAGUCCACACCGUAAACGAUGAUUACUAGGUGUUGGAGGAUUGACCCCUUCAGUGCCGCAGUUAACACAAUAAGUAAUCCACCUGGGGAGUACGACCGCAAGGUUGAAACUCAAAGGAAUUGACGGGGGCCCGCACAAGCAGUGGAGUAUGUGGUUUAAUUCGACGCAACGCGAAGAACCUUACCAAGUCUUGACAUCCUGCGACGAUGCUGGAAACAGUAUUUUCCUUCGGGACGCAGAGACAGGUGGUGCAUGGUUGUCGUCAGCUCGUGUCGUGAGAUGUUGGGUUAAGUCCCGCAACGAGCGCAACCCUUACUGUCAGUUACUACGCAAGAGGACUCUGGCAGGACUGCCGUUGACAAAACGGAGGAAGGUGGGGAUGACGUCAAAUCAUCAUGCCCUUUAUGACUUGGGCUACACACGUACUACAAUGGCGUUAAACAAAGAGAAGCAAGACCGCGAGGUGGAGCAAAACUCAGAAACAACGUCCCAGUUCGGACUGCAGGCUGCAACUCGCCUGCACGAAGUCGGAAUUGCUAGUAAUCGUGGAUCAGCAUGCCACGGUGAAUACGCUCCCGGGCCUUGCACUCACCGCCCGUCA
rnacentral:rRNA from 1 species